UACGUAGGGUGCGAGCGUUAAUCGGAAUUACUGGGCGUAAAGCGUGCGCAGGCGGUUCGUUAAGUCAGAUGUGAAAGCCCCGGGCUCAACCUGGGAACGGCGCUUGAGACUGGCACGCUCGAGUUCGGGAGAGGAUGGUGGAAUUCCCAGUGUAGAGGUGAAAUUCGUAGAUAUUGGGAAGAACACCGAUGGCGAAGGCAGCCAUCUGGACCGACACUGACGCUGAGGCGCGAAAGCGUGGGGAGCAAACAGG
rnacentral:rRNA from 1 species